GAUGAACGCUGGCGGCGUGCCUAAUACAUGCAAGUAGGACGCAGUUGCGAACGGGUGAGUAACGCGUAGGUAACUACCUAUUAGAGGGGGAUAACUAUUGGAAACGAUAGCUAAUACCGCAUACUAGUAGAUGGACCUGCGUUGUAUUAGCUAGUAGGUAGGGUAAUGGCCUACCUAGGCAACGAUACAUAGCCGACCUGGGAGGGGGACCGGGCAAACCGGGGAUGGGACACGGGCCAGACUCCUACGGGAGGCAGCAGUAGGGAAACUUCGGAAAAGGGGGGAACCCUGACCGAGCAACGCCGCGUGAGUGGAGAAGGUUUUCGGAUCGGAAAGGUCUGUUGUGAAGGAAGCGGUACUUACCCAGAAAGGGACGGCUAACUACGUGCCAGCAGCCGCGGUAAUAC
rnacentral:rRNA from 1 species